UCUCUGGUAGUAUAUCGGUUAGUACACGCGCCUGUCAUGGUAAAUGUAUGAAACCACUUUCGCGCGAAAGCUGGGUUCGACUCCCAGCCAGAGAG